AAAGUUGAAAAGCACUUUGAAAAGAGAGUGCAAGAGAACGUGAAACCGUUAUAGUGGAAGCGGAUAGAGUCGACGUAUCCAGUGCGUAUUCAGCCGCUUUGCGGGGCAAGUUUUUCGUUCGGAAUUCUGCAAAGUUUUCGGCGGACUUUUUUGUUCUGCGAAGUGGUGCAUUUGCGUACAGAGUGCGCCGAAUCGGCCGAGCUCGCUGUUUGAUAGUCGUAAAGAGGACCAUUUAUUUGGAAACCUGUGUGACCGAAUGACAGUCGAGUUUGGUUGUAAAAAGGGCUGGUAUUUCGUGGCAAGGGCCGUGAGUCGGGGUCGAAUUUGUACGAUGCAUGCGUUUUGCAUUUACGAUUUCGCUUCAUUGUUCUUGCUGCUCAGCCCUAUAUUCGGUGUUUAGUCGAUCACCUAUUUGACCCGUCUUGAAACACGGACCAAGGAGUUUAAGGUGUACGCAAGUCAUUGAUCGUUGAAAGUCAAAGGCGUAAUGAAAGUGGGACACUUGGUGUCUGUGAUGUGAACUUGGCGGGUUUCGACCUGUCUAGUGCAACAUCGACCCAUGACUAGGACUUGUUCUGUUGUGGAGUCUGAGCGUACGCUUUGAGACCCGAAAGAUGGUGAACUAUGCCUGAACAGGACGAAGUCAGAGGAAACUCUGAUGGAAGUCCGAAGCGGUUCUGACGUGCAAAUCGAUCGUCUGAUUGGGUAUA
rnacentral:rRNA from 1 species